rnacentral:rRNA from 1 species
UUCCGGUUGAUCCCGCCGGACCCGACUGCUAUUUGGGUGAGGAUAAGCCAUGCGAGUUGAAUGGGAUACCUAAAUUUCCCAUGGCAAACUGCUCAGUAACACAUGAUCAACUUCCCCUAUGGAGAAAAAUACCCUCGGGAAACUGAGGAUAAUGUUUCAUAGUUGAAAAGGCUUGGAAAAGUUUUUCAAUGAAAGGGAUAAGGAAAAUGGUUCUUAUCUGCUAUAGGAUAGGAUCGUGGUCGAUUAUGGUUGUUGGUGAGGUAACGGCUCACCAAGCCGAUAAUCGAUAGGGGCCGUGAGAGCGGGAGCCCCGAGAUGGGUACUGAGACAACGACCCAGGCCUUACGAGGCGCAGCAGGCGCGAGACCUCCGCAAUACACGAAAGUGUGACGGGGUUACCCAAAGUGUUCAUUUAUGAACUGUGGUAGGUGAGUAAUAUCCCCUACUAGAAAGGAGAGGGCAAGGCUGGUGCCAGCCGCCGCGGUAAAACCAGCUCUUCAAGUGGUCGGGAUAAUUAUUGGGCUUAAAGUGUCCGUAGCCGGUUUAGUAAGUUCCUGGUAAAAUCGGGUAGCUUAACUAUCCGCAUGCUAGGAAUACUGCUAUACUAGAGGGCGGGAGAGGUCUGAGGUACUACAGGGGUAGGGGUGAAAUCUUAUAAUCCUUGUAGGACCACCAGUGGCGAAGGCGUCAGACUGGAACGCGCCUGACGGUGAGGGACGAAAGCCAGGGGAGCGAACCGGAUUAGAUACCCGGGUAGUCCUGGCCGUAAACGAUGCAUACUAGGUGAUGGCACGGCCAUGAGCCGUGUCAGUGCCGUAGGGAAACCGUUAAGUGUGCCGCCUGGGAAGUACGGUCGCAAGGCUAAAACUUAAGGAAUUGGCGGGGAAGCACCACAAGGGGUGAAGCCUGCGGUUCAAUUGGAUUCAACGCCGGAAAUCACUAGUGCGGGCCGCCUGCAGGUCGACCAUAUGGGAGAGCUCCCAACGCGUUGGAUGCAUAGCUUGAGUAUUCUAUAGUGUCCCUUAAAUAGCUUGGCGUAAUCAUGGUUCA